AGAGUUUGAUCAUGGCUCAGGACGAACGCUGGCGGCGAUGCUUAACACAUGCAAGUCGAACGAGGUCCAUGGAGCUUGCUCCGGAAGACCUAGUGGCGAACGGGUGCGUAACACGUGAGAAACCUGCCCUGGACUUAGGAAUAACAGUCGGAAACGACUGCUAAUACCGAAUACCUUCACACCGCCGCAUGACGGAGUGAAGAAAGCUUUUGCGGUUCAGGAGGGUCUCGCGGCCUAUCAGCUUGUUGGUGAGGUAACGGCUCACCAAGGCAUCGACGGGUAGCUGGUCUGAGAGGAUGAUCAGCCACACUGGGACUGAGACACGGCCCAGACUCCUACGGGAGGCAGCAGUGGGGAAUAUUGCACAAUGGGCGAAAGCCUGAUGCAGCAACGCCGCGUGCGGGAAGAAGGCCCUAGGGUUGUAAACCGCUUUCAGCAGGAAGAAAAUGACGGUACCUGCAGAAGAAGGUGCGGCCAACUACGUGCCAGCAGCCGCGGUGACACGUAGCACCAAGCGUUGUCCGGAUUUAUUGGGCGUAAAGAGCUCGUAGGCGGUUCAUAAGUCGGGUGUGAAAACUCUGGGCUCAACCCAAGACGCCACCCGAUACUGCUGUGACUUGAGUACGGUAGGGGAGCGGGGAAUUCCUGGUGUAGCGGUGAAAUGCGCAGAUUCAGAGGAACACCAGUGGCGAAGGCGCCCUCUGGGCCGUAACUGACGCUAGAGCGAAAGCGUGGGUAGCAAACAGGAUUAGAUACCCUGGUAGUCCACGCCGUAAACGUUGGGCACUAGGUGUGGGUCUCAACCAACGAGAUCCGCGCCGUCCUAAGCAUUA
rnacentral:rRNA from 1 species